rnacentral:rRNA from 1 species
CGGUAAUACGUGGGAGGCGAGCGUUGUCCGGAUUUACUGGGCGUAAAGAGCGCGCAGGCGGUCUGUUAAGUCAGAUGUGAAAUCUCCCGGCUUAACUGGGAGGGUGCAUUUGAUACUAAUGGGCUUGAGGGGAGUAGAGGGAUGCGGAAUUCCCGGUGUAGUGGUGAAAUGCGUAGAUAUCGGGAGGAACACCAGUGGCGAAGGCGGCAUCCUGGGCUCUACCUGACGCUGAGGCGCAAAAGCGUGGGGAGCAAACCGGAUUAGAUACCCGGGUAGUCCACGCUGUAAACUAUGGACACUAGGCGUGGGGAGUAUCGACCCUCUCUGUGCCGCAGCUAACGCAAUAAGUGUCCCGCCUGGGGAGUACGGCCGCAAGGCUAAA